UACGGAGGAUGCGAGCGUUAUCCGGAUUUAUUGGGUUUAAAGGGUGCGCAGGCGGAAGAUCAAGUCAGCGGUAAAAUUGAGAGGCUCAACCUCUUCGAGCCGUUGAAACUGGCAGACUUGAGUUGGCGAGAAGUACGCGGAAUGCGCGGUGUAGCGGUGAAAUGCAUAGAUAUCGCGCAGAACUCCGAUUGCGAAGGCAGCGUACCGGCGCCAGACUGACGCUGAGGCACGAAAGCGUGGGGAUCGAACAGG
rnacentral:rRNA from 1 species